AGUCGAGCGGACGGAUGGGAGCUUGCUCCCUGAUGUAAGCGGGGAGGGGUGAGAAUCACGUGGGUGACCUGCCUGUAUGACUGGGAUAACUCCCGGAAACCGGGGCUAAUACCGGAUGCUUGAUUGAACCGCAAGGUUCAAUUAUUUAAGGUGGCUUUUCGCUACAACUUACCGAAUGACCCGCGGCGCAAUAUCUAGUUGGUGAGGUAACGGCUCACCAAGGCUACCAUGCCUAACCCACCUGAAAGGGUGAUCGGCCACACUGGGACUGAAACCCGGCCCAAACUCCUACGGGAGGCAACAUUAAGGAAUCUUCCCCAAUGGACAAAAGUCUGACGGAACAACCCCCCGUGAAUGAUGAAGGUUUUCGGAUUUUAAAACUCUUUUGUUAGGGAAAAACAAAAUCCGUUCGAAUAGGGCGGUACCUUGACGGUACCUAACCAAAAAGCCCCGGCUAACUACCUGCCAGCAUACCGCGGUAAUACCUAGGUGGCAAGCGUUGUCCGGAAUUAUUGGGCGUAAAGCGCCCGCAGGGGGUUUCUUAAAUUUGAUGUGAAAGCCCCCGGCUCAACCGGGGAGGGUCAUUGGAAACUGGGGAACUUGAGUGCAGAAAAGGACAGUGGGAAUUCCACGUGUGCGGUGAAAUGCGGAAAGAUGUGGAGGAACACCGCGGGCCAAUGGACACUCUCUGGUCUGUCACUGACGAUGAGGGGCGAGCAAGUGGGGAGCGAUCCGGAGUAGAUACCCUGGGAAUCCACUCCCUAUACGAUGAGUGCUAACUGGUAAGAGGGUUUCCCCCCUUUAAUGCUUCAAAAACGCAUCAAGCACUCCACCCUGGGGAGUACGGACGCUCAGACUGAAACUCAAGGAAUUGACGGGGGCCGCAGCAUGCGGUGUAGCAUCGGUGCUUAAUUCGAACCACCGCC
rnacentral:rRNA from 1 species